rnacentral:lncRNA from 10 species
AGGGCGUGCUUUGUCAGGAGCAGCUUUUAUUCAUGGAUUGGAUCUCCUUGAUUCAAAUACCCUGGCUGGCAACACUCCAUUGGUGACACUGCUGUCUUCACAGGGCCCCACCCAGAGGCAUGUAUGCUGGGUGGCUGCAUUCCAUCACUCGACGAAGGAGCUGCUACAGAGCGUCUCCAUCGGAAGCACAUCCUCCCUCUGAAAUCAGUGGGUAAUGGUGGGAUGAUACCGUAAGAAUGAGGACAUUCCCUGUCAAGAGGCUGAAUCCCUCAUUCUCCUCCUUAUAUGGGUUUCUCAGGCCUCAUUCUUGAACUUUCCCACAUUGUCCUCACUUUUCCCUGUCCCAAUAAGGGCAUCUUAUGUCUGGGUGUCAUUUUCAUCAGAAUGCAAAGGUAAACAAGUGAGAAGCGUCUUUGUGUGGCUGGAGCUUAAAGGCUGCAGGUGGACCCCGAUAUUUGGUGGCCAAGAUCACACACUGUGCUGAGGGUCCCGUGGAACCCUCGCCCCAGGAUGCACACAGAGAGGCAUGUAGCACACACUUGGGAAGCUGAAGAAGGGUUUUUGGAGGAAGUGGUGUCGAAGCUGACAUUAGAAGGAUGAGCAGCGAUCCGGGGGCAAUAGGAGAGAGAAUGGGGUGGUCAGCAUCACAUGGGUGGCCCAGAUGUGAAGAGAGCACACCCAACCCAAGGGCACAGGAAAUCCAGUGUUGCUGGACAUCAGGGGAGGAGAGGUGAAGGCCACUGCAAGGAUUGGCAGGGGGUUGAUAGCAGGGCUGAUAGCAAGCGGUCUCAUGAGCCACCAGCUGGAGUUUAAAUUUGCUCACAAGAUCCAUGGGAGGAGCAUUAAGUUUUAUUAAACAGGACUGGUUGGGAGAGGGGCUGAUGUGACAUGAUUGGCCCUUUUAAAGGAGCCCUGUGGCCGUAUGGUGGUGGCUGGAUUGCUGCAGGGGAACACGAAUGGAGGCAGAGCUGCCAUUUGGAUGGAUGUCUGUCACAUUGAUCCAGGGAAAAGACAUUUGCAUCCUGAACAAUGACCAUGCCAAUGGGAUGGAAAGACUGCAUGGAAUUCAGUGUGUUUUGGAGGAAGUCUUAAUAGUGCUGGGUGCUUGAUUGGAUGAAGACAAAAACCUCAAGAUUGAUUAUUUCCUUUUCACAAUUUUUGUCUUGAAUUAGGGUAAACUGUAUCCAGGUGGGAAGAAGCACAUUUGUCCCAGGGCAAAGGAUUUUAUGUGAGGUCUUCAUAAGAACAGUACACCCUAUGUUCGAUGUGUUAUUUCAGCAAGAACCCAAUCUUAUUACCAAACUAGGUGAACAUCAACAUGUUAAGAAACUUGACAGCACAAGAGGAAUCUCUGUGCUGAUGAAACAACUCUGUAUCUUCAUUGUGGUGGUGGGUGGGGGUAUGAAUCUACACAUGUGCCCAAACCACACACACACACACACACACACACACACAAAUAAGUGCUUGUGGAACUGGUGAAUAAGGCCUGUGGAUUGCACCAACACCAAUUGCCUGAUGUUGAAAUUGUACUGCAAUUCAUAUCGUGGAAAUUGGACUGUAAUCAUAUUGUGUUUGCAUAGUACUGUGUCACACUGGGGGAGACAGGUGAAGGUUACAUAGUACCUCUCUAUACAAUCUUUGCAACUUCCUCUGAAUAUCGAAU